rnacentral:rRNA from 1 species
AUUGAACGCUGGCGGCAGGCCUAACACAUGCAAGUCGAACGGUAACAGGAAACAGCUUGCUGUUUCGCUGACGAGUGGCGGACGUGUGAGCAAUGUCUGGGACACUGCCUGAUGGAGGGGGAUAACUACUGGAAACGGUAGCUAAUACCGCAUAACGUCGCAAGACCAAAGAGGGGGACCUUCGGGCCUCUUGCCAUCAGAUGUGCCCAGAUGGGAUUAGCUAGUAGGUGGGGUAAAGGCUCACCCAGGCGAGGAUCCGUAACUGGUCGCAGAGGAGGACCAGCCACACUGGAACUGAGACACGGUCCAGACUCCUACGGGAGGCAGCAGUGGGGAAUAUUGGACAAUGGGCGCAAGCCUGAUGCAGCCAUGCCGCGUGUAUGAAGAAGGCCUUCGGGUUGUAAAGUACUUUCAGCGGGGAGGAAGGGAGUAAAGUUAAUACCUUUGCUCAUUGACGUUACCCGCAGAAGAAGCACCGGCUAACUCCGUG